AAAAGUUCUGAUUUUCACCAGCAGUUUUCGAUAAAGGGGCGAACUUUUGAAUUCAGCGAGGAGGAAAAAGAAGAAGAAAAAGAGGAGUUGAUUGGUUGUGCUGGUCGAAAUCCUUCAUCCAGAACUCCCUUCCUCAUUCCGAAGAAGAGAAAGUCGGCCAAGCGUAAGAAGACGGCCGUCGCCACUGCCGAUCUUCCUGCUAAAGAUAUUGGUAAUCACGACGGCAGGGCACCGCCUCUACCUUAGGAGAUCAAGGAGCAUGAUGGCGGAUCUACCGCGUCUUCUUCCUCCGCGUCCUCGUCCCCUCAAGAACACCAUUGUUCUCGACCUGCCAAAGAGUUCUCGGGUUCUGAACUCGUUGCCUUUGAUGGUUCAACGGAAGGAGCGGUCUUGGCCCAGAAGGAAGAAGAAAAGGAGUUUUCUAUCGUUGUGAAGGAAGCAACAUUCAGCUCUACCACAGAGUCAUUUCCUAAAUCCAAGGAUUCCAUUGUCGAAGAUACUAAAUAUCAGGAGGAACUUGAGGAAGCUGUUGACGAAUCUGCUAUGCCAGUUGAAAAGAUUGUUGUUUUAGCUGAAGAGGAGAGGCAAGUUGAUGAGAUUGCUUUGGCUGAAGUCCAAGUGAAAGUAGUGCUCUUUCCGGAUGCAGAUGAGAUGGCUAAACAACUCAAUGAGAGCCAUGGAGACCGCUGCUGUGGUGGCAGAGAUGAGACUCUGCCUGCAGCUGAGGUGCUGAAGUUCUAACUUUUAUUGCGCUAAUUCAUCUAAUUCAAUUAGUGUGCUGCUUAGUGAAUGACUUGAUACACGUAGCUUACUCUGCCUCCUCUGGCCGUCGUCAUUUGUCGUACAUCAUGGUGGAGUUGCUGUGGCUUGCUUGAUGUCUUUGGGUUCUUGGUGAUUAAAUGAGGUCAAUGCUUAGUUCGAAGAUCUUCUACCUUCUCAGUAGAAUGCCGACUUUUCAGGUAGAUCUCUGUUUGUUGUGUUGGGGUAAGAAACAUAGUUGUUCAGCUACGGGCAUUUGCUCUUGUCUAGGAUGAACUGACAAGUGUCCACAAUUAUCAGCUUCUGGUCUGAUUCAAGCCAUUCUCCAUCAGUAGUAUAUGCAUUACAUUUUUGUAGCAAAUACGUUAGCUGAUAAGUGAGGGCAAAGAUGAAAGCUUAGGAUGUCUGGAUACUAUAACGUAUGACUAAUUGAUAGCACAUUUGUUCCACUUGAGAGCAAAUAGAUAUGAUAGUUAUGAUAUGGCUUAAGGUUAUUUUGUUAUCGUACUAGUUGGGUAGACAGCCAAAUAUAGCAAAAGAAAUAGUUAAUCAACAUAUGUAUGACUUAGGUAUCUUGUAGGAUGGAUGAUUAAAAUGUUUCCUUUAAAGUUCACCAGCUGAAUGAAGCUUGCUGAAAAAACUAUCAAAUCUAUUCUGUGUUGACACCCAUUUUGAAGCUACUUGUUGUUUAGUUUAUGUAUCAGUUAUAAUAUGAUUUAUCUUCCUUUUCUGGCUAAAAUUAAGCAAAUUUUCUGUACAGUAAUUGAAGUUAGCUUCAGAAUAUUAUUCUUGUACUAAACAAGGUAUCCUAGUUUGUGAAAAUAUUAAUACAUUAGCAUGUUUGCAAUUGUCAAAAUUCUUAUUCUUUUCAGAUAAGAUGAGAGGCCAUAUUAGCCUCAGAGAUAGUUGAAGGCGAGAUACUAAUAAUGAUUAACAAAUUUUUUAUGAACCAUAUAGAUAUUGUAUGAAGGAUAAUACAGGAUAAGUGCUUCAGAUAUAAGACACUGAUUGUACUUAACAAAUUGUAUGGUGCUAACUUUGGAAAAAAUAGUUGCCUGCGAGGGAUGAUCGUUCAAAGACAAACUCAAGAUUGAAUCGUAAAGGAUCAUUAGCGUAAUGGUUUUGUCCUUGGUGGACUCUUCAUCUACUCUUUCAUACUCUGGGUUGACAAUCAAAAUCUCAAGUAUCAUUCAAGCCUAACUAUUCCUUUUAUGAUUAUUCUAAAGAAUCUAGUUGUCUUUUAGCAGCUUGGCUUGUAGCUAAUACAUUGCAUUCUUGGUGAUGCAGAACUUGAUUGCUGGGUUUGAGAUGAGUAUUUGCUAUCAGUCCCUGGGGUUUUAUGCAACUCUUGUUGUAUUUCUUGUUUGGACGGUUUCAUACUCUUAUAACCUAUUAGGAUGUGUAUAUCAUCCAUUGUAAUAUCUCGUUGUCAAAUCUCUAAAAAAUAGAUGGUGUAACUUGUUGUUCUAA